GUUUUUAUAGUUUAAUACUAAAACAUUAAUUUUGUAAAUUAAAAAUAAUAAAUUAUUUAAAAACU
rnacentral:tRNA from 1 species